UUCCAUUCAAAAGUGGUCAGUCAUAUACAUUCAUUACGUGCACACCUUGUUCUGUUCCUUUUCCUUUUGUCAUAUAUAUAUAGAGAUUAUGUAGUUAAUCAUCAGUUGGGCAUGAAGGGGCAGUCUAACAUUGCUUAACUAUUUGUAUGACCAAUCUGUUAAUAAUUCUGAUCAUCUCAUGAAAUUUGAAUUUGCUGAAUGGCAUAACAAUAUGCACAUUCUUAAUGUUUACUUUUGGUGUCCGAUAAAUUACCAGUGUUAUGUGUUUUGCCUUUGCUUUGUCAUGGCUGGCUUAGGAAAAGAGAAUAGUGCAGAAGAUAUGUUGGUUAGUGGUUAAAUCCUUAUCUUAGGUAGUUCAAAAGAGCAGUGACAAGGAGGGCGGGGGUGGAUAGGUGAGUUAGUAUGUCUGCACUCCGUAAUACUACCUGAUCUGCAGAAGUAUCAUUGUUGUUAAAGGCUUAACAGGCUCUAGGUUUAGCACCUCUAUCAUGGUCAAAUGUCAACCUAAGCGAGGUGUGCGUAUUAUUCUCUAGACACACUCCUUUUUCCAGGCAUAAGGCACCAUGAAGGCACACCUCUAAUUAAAUUUUGGAUGCAGCCAUUUAUUUUUGUAUUUACUUGAUGUUAUUUUUCAUCUAUAUGACAUUGAUACAAGGUUGAGCAUUGGUUUAUAGUUUAUUGUAUUGCACCCAAUU
rnacentral:misc_RNA from 1 species